GACGAACGCUGGCGGCGUGCUUAACACAUGCAAGUUGAACGGAAAGGCCCGGCUUUUGUGGGGUGCUCGAGUGGCGAACGGGUGAGUAACACGUGAGUAACCUGCCCUUGACUUUGGGAUAACUUCAGGAAACUGGGGCUAAUACCGGAUAGGAGCUCCUGCUGCAUGGUGGGGGUUGGAAAGUUUCGGCGGUUGGGGAUGGACUCGCGGCUUAUCAGCUUGUUGGUGGGGUAGUGGCUUACCAAGGCUUUGACGGGUAGCCGGCCUGAGAGGGUGACCGGCCACAUUGGGACUGAGAUACGGCCCAGACUCCUACGGGAGGCAGCAGUGGGGAAUAUUGCACAAUGGGCGGAAGCCUGAUGCAGCAACGCCGCGUGCGGGAUGACGGCCUUCGGGUUGUAAACCGCUUUCGCCUGUGACGAAGCGUGAGUGACGGUAAUGGGUAAAGAAGCACCGGCUAACUACGUG
rnacentral:rRNA from 1 species